AGCGUUAAGCUUCGCUGUAUAAAAGAAAGCGUCACGUUCUCAUCUUCCUCGUUCAGGCCGCUCUCUCAGAGAAUGGAGGUGUUAAUGGACACGAGUCUCGGUUCAGCACGAGGUUGCACCGCAGUCAUGACUGCAGAGGUCACAAGAUGAGUUGAAUAUGAACCCGUCCGGUCAUCGAAACGCUCCUGAGACCGUCCGAGGGAGCUUUCUGUAACAGACGCUGCAGUGCUGUCUGUGAGGAGACCCCAUGGCUGUGGACAGUGCACUGGUGCUGAUGUCCUGUGUGACCGCUGGAGCCAGUGCAGGUAUGAUACUGUCCACUCUCAAUAAUAUAGUGACUCCUGAUCAAGGAUGACAGAUUUCUGAUGGUGACUGCUGGAUGAAACUUGCGGAUAUGGGACUGAGAUCAGUGCUGGUCUGUUUGAGGCAGUGUCUGUGUGCUGUC